rnacentral:RNase_P_RNA from 1 species
CCAGACGGCCGGAUGGCCGCUCUUGUCACCCCUCGGGGCGAUGGGAGAGGAAAGUCCGGGCUCCACGGUGACACGGUGCCGGGUAACACCCGGCGGGGGCGACCCCAGGGACAGUGCCACAGAAAGCAAACCGCCCGCCCGGCUCCGGCCCGGCGGGCAAGGGUGAAAGGGUGCGGUAAGAGCGCACCGCGCCCUCGGUAACGGGGGUGGCAGGGUAAACCCCACCGGGAGCAAGACCAAAUAGGGACGGCAUGACGGACCCUCGUCCUUCGGGGCCGGGAUGCGCCAAGCGGGUUGCCGAGCCGCCGUCCGGGUAGGUCGCAAGAGGCGUCCGGUAACGGGCGUCCCAGAUGAAUGGCCAUCCCCCGUCCCGGGGUUCCACUUUGGGGCGGGGACAGAACCCGGCUUACAGGCCGUCUGGCACU